rnacentral:lncRNA from 1 species
AAUCAUGAGUCAGUAUGUGCCAGCUGUAUUUAAGACCAAAGGCUUAAUGUAUCCACAUCUGGGGUAGGAGUCAGAUGUAAAACAAGCCCAACAUUGCCUUGGAAGUUCUAUAGGGAAUGGACUCUUUCGUGGCUAGAUUUGAAUCCCACGUACAACAGAAGCUUCCAAAUGCGUUGUUUGGCCACAAUGAAGAAUCCUUAUUGAAAUAUCCCUUGAAUGGCAUAAUUGAAUAGACGUAAUUGCAAAGCUCUGCACCAUGUAAAAUUGGAAAUGGACUCUUGUGUAUGUAGAUGAGAAGAACUGAGCAUGAGAGGGUGCUGAUAACAGGGGAUAUGGGCACCGCAUAACCUAAACAGACUUUGACACCACAACAAAAGAGAGACAGAUACUGUAGAACAAUGACAGGUCCCUCCCAGGAUCCUUGAUCUGAUCUGUCAGCCUUUACCACUGAGCACGGAAGCACCAGGAGACAUCAGGAUCAAGAAAUUACUUGGUUCCAGUGCCAUGGAGACCAGGUGAUGCACACAUGCAAAUUCAGUGGCCGUGCAGAAGUUUCAAGAUCAGGGCGAGGGAAAAGACAGACAGUAAAUGACACUGCAGAGGCAACACUAACAAGCAAGGUUCUGCAGGGGCUGAACAUCAUAUUCAUCAAACUUUGGAGUUUGCCCUCAGAGAUCCCCCUCCUGGAGCAGGGGAAUUCCUGAUCUAUCGACUUCUGUGUCAAUAUUCAGAACUACAGUCAGGAGGACCGGCUUGUUUUCCCUUCUUCUCCAUACUCAAGAUGACACUAUAAUGAGAGAGUUGGCUGCAAAAUCCCUUACAAGAGAUGAUGGUCAUCACAGUCAGAGAUAUGUCAAAGCACAGGCAGUGCAGCCUGGGUGGAAAUGUGGUUUGGAAAUUCAGAAGGAGUUUACCACUUUGAUAACAGAUGCAUUGUGUCAUUUCUUCUGGUGGUCAUUUUGACAUCGAAGCAUUAACCUUGGAUUUUGCUAUUUCUUUUUAAUUUUAAUUCCCUUCUAUUUGGCCUUAUUAUUAAUCCUGAGAAGGCUUUUUUUUCUUUUUCAAAAAACACAAAUAUUUGGUAUUGAUCUUACCAGGGAGAACAGAAGAGUAUGGCCAUGUUACCUGAGAGGAGUUAGUGCUAUUGCAGCAUAGGGUGGAACAAUUGAGGCUUCAUUUGUGCAGGGAGAGAAUUCAGUCUUCUUCAAAGCUGAUCUCUCUGUGUGUGUGUGUGUGUGUGUGUGUGUGUGUGUGUGUGUGUGUGUGGUGUGUUUGUGUGUAUCUGCCUAAAAGCUAACACCAGGAUCUCAUUUUAUCUGUAAUUGAAACGUGAACUAAUGGAUUAAUAUUAUUAGUCUGUCACCUAUAGACAAAAAGAGAGUCUUCGGUGAUCAGAAAUCAACUUAAUAUACUCUAAGCACUUUUAACAUCUUACACCAUUUAAACCACACAGACACACGCAUGGGGUGAGUGUAAAAACAAAUAGACACAUCAUAGAAGACAAUUAGCAAUUUUGUCAGAAGUCUUAAAAUAUAUUUCCACUAUGCAUUCAUAUUUCACUUCUAAAAAUAUAUCCUAAGGAAAUAAUUUCAAUGCUGCAGUUAACUAUUGCUUCUGCCUGCCCUGGAAAGGUUGUUCCUUCUGCUACUGGCACCCAAAUUCCCUUUGGGAAUGUCUCUCUUGCCCACUCUCCAUCCAUGUGUUUAGGUGGGGCCAAUGCCUUCCUCUGCUCAGAGAGCAGCCCCAGUGUCAGGUCUAAGAAAUUAGUGAAUUUCAUCGUUUUGCAUUGUAAUCUGUUCAAAGCUGAGAAUAAGGAUCAGUUAAAUUCUAAGCCAGGGAUGUCCCAGAACGUUAAUAGAACUGUGGAAAUAAGGUCUCUUUUUAAUUACAUGUAUUGCUGGAAGGAUAUGAGCUUGGAAAGGUAGGGUACCACCACACGGAGAGAACCUAGCUAAAAAUGUAUCUGUCACAGAAAAUAGUAGGGCUGAGCACGUGAACCUAGGAUGGACUCCAGGCCUCUCUCACCGUCAGCUAGAAUCUUGGCUUGAGGAAGACAGACUUUCUAUGUGCAAUGCUGUGUCUCUGCUACCAAGAAUGUCACUUGGGAAAUGCUCAUAAAUGUCUGUGGGAUAAAGACUUUGGGGAACAAAAUCCUGAUGAGGCCCCUUGAGUACCUCAACGAAGCCAUUUCUGAAGCCAAUGUACUCCUUUCCAGUUAUGACAGUUAACAUAUUCUUGUGUGGGUGUGUGUUUGUUUUCUAGCUUAAGCCAGCUUGAAUUGGGUUCAUAACAAAUAAACAUUUCAAAUACA